AUCGCAUGGCCUUGCGCCGGCGAUGGUUCAUUCAAAUUUCUUCCCUAUCAACUUUCGAUGCGAAGGUAUUGUCUUCGCAUGGUUGCAACGGGUAACGGAGGGUUAGGGCUCGACCCCGGAGAAGGAGCCUGAGAAACGGCUACUACAUCCAAGGAAGGCAGCAGGCGCGCAAAUUACCCAAUCCCGACACGGGGAGGUAGUGACAAUAAAUACUGAUACAGGGCUCUUUUGGGUCUUGUAAUCGGAAUGAGUACAAUUUAAAUCCCUUAACGAGGAACAAUUGGAGGGCAAGUCUGGUGCCAGCAGCCGCGGUAAUUCCAGCUCCAAUAGCGUAUAUUAAAGUUGUUGUGGUUAAAAAGCUCGUAGUUGAACCUUGGGCCUGGCUGGCCGGUCCCCCUCACCGGGUGCACUGAUCCAGCCGGGCCUUUCCCUCUGUGGAACCCCAUGGCCUUCACUGGCUGUGGCGGGGAAACAGGACUUUUACUUUGAAAAAAUUAGAGUGCUCCAGGCAGGCCUAUGCUCGAAUACAUUAGCAUGGAAUAAUAGAAUAGGACGUGUGGUUCUAUUUUGUUGGUUUCUAGGACCGCCGUAAUGAUUAAUAGNGUCUGGUGCCAGCAGCCGCGGUAAUUCCAGCUCCAAUAGCGUAUAUUAAAGUUGUUGUGGUUAAAAAGCUCGUAGUUGAACCUUGGGCCUGGCUGGCCGGUCCCCCUCACCGGGUGCACUGAUCCAGCCGGGCCUUUCCCUCUGUGGAACCCCAUGGCCUUCACUGGCUGUGGCGGGGAAACAGGACUUUUACUUUGAAAAAAUUAGAGUGCUCCAGGCAGGC
rnacentral:rRNA from 1 species